rnacentral:rRNA from 1 species
ACUCCUACGGGAGGCAGCAGUGGGGAAUAUUGCACAAUGGGCGCAAGCCUGAUGCAGCCAUGCCGCGUGUGUGAAGAAGGCCUUCGGGUUGUAAAGCACUUUCAGUCGUGAGGAAGGUAGUGUAGUUAAUAGCUGCAUUAUUUGUACGUUAGCGACAGAAGAAGCACCGGCUAACUCCGUGCCAGCAGCCGCGGUAAGUACGGAGGGUGCGAGCGUUAAUCGGAAUUACUGGGCGUAAAGCGCAUGCAGGUGGUUUGUUAAGUCAGAUGUGAAAGCCCGGGGCUCAACCUCGGAAUAGCAUUUGAAACUGGCAGACUAGAGUACUGUAGAGGGGGUAGAAUUUCAGGUGUAGCGGUGAAAUGCGUAGAGAUCGUGAAGGAAUACCGGUGGCGAAGGCGGCCCCUGGACAGAUACUGACACUCAGAUGCGAAAGCGUGGGAGCGAAACAGG